rnacentral:rRNA from 1 species
GAUGAACGCUGGCGGCGUGCCUAACACAUGCAAGUCGAACGGAACUUUUACGGAUUGAGACUUCGGUUGAUUGAGGUUUAAGUUAGUGGCGGACGGGUGAGUAACGCGUGAGUAACCUGCCUUUCACAGGGGGAUAACGUUUGGAAACGAACGCUAAUACCGCAUAACAUAGCGGGGUCGCAUGGCUCUGCUAUCAAAGAUUUUAUCGGUGAAAGAUGGCCUCGCGUCCGAUUAGUUAGUUGGCGGGGUAACGGCCCACCAAGACGACGAUCGGUAGCCGAACUGAGAGGUUGAUCGGCCGCAUUGGGACUGAGACACGGCCCAGACUCCUACGGGAGGCAGCAGUGGGGGAUAUUGCACAAUGGAGGAAACUCUGAUGCAGCAACGCCGCGUGAGGGAAGAAGGUCUUCGGAUUGUAAACCUAAGUUGUCAGGGACGAACAAAUGACGGUACCUGAAAAGAAAGCUCCGGCUAACUACGUG